CCCUUUAGUGAUCUAACACAAUAAAUCAGCAUACACAAAAAAAUCAUUAAUAGUCUAGAUAGCAUUUCCACACAAUUUGAAGCAUCAAAUGCAUCAAUCCUCCCAUAACUAUUUCAAUUCAUCUAUUAAAAGUUGCAAAAAAGCAUCAAUAUCAUUAUCCAGAUCCUUAAUUAACAUCUAAAAUUGCGAUUGAUAAAAU
rnacentral:lncRNA from 1 species